rnacentral:piRNA from 1 species
UAUCAAAAUAGGAUCCGGGCCUUUCC